rnacentral:sRNA from 2 species
ACUAAGGUUCGAUUCGAGCGCAGCGAGAAAGCGUUGCCGCAGGCAACGACCCGAAGGGCGAAGCGCGCAGCGCUGAGUAAUCCUUCCCCCAUCACCA